GACGAACGCUGGCGGCGUGCUUAACACAUGCAAGUCGAGCGGGAAACUUCGGUUUCCAGCGGCGGACGGGUGAGUAACACGUGGGCAACCUGCCUCACAAUGAGGGAUAGCCUUCCGAAAGGAAGAUUAAUACCUCAUAAUACAAGAGAAACGCAUGUUUCUCUUGCCAAAGAAUUUCGUUGUGAGAUGGGCCCGCGGCGCAUUAGCUUGUUGGUGAGGUAACGGCUCACCAAGGCUGCGAUGCGUAGCCGACCUGAGAGGGUGAUCGGCCACAUUGGAACUGAGACACGGUCCAGACUCCUACGGGAGGCAGCAGUGGGGAAUAUUGCACAAUGGAGGAAACUCUGAUGCAGCAACGCCGCGUGAGUGAUGAAGGUCUUCGGAUUGUAAAGCUCUGUCUUCUGGGACGAUAAUGACGGUACCAGAGGAGGAAGCCACGGCUAACUACGUGCCAGCCGCCGCCGUAA
rnacentral:rRNA from 1 species